rnacentral:lncRNA from 1 species
UAUUGUGUUAAGUUUGAAAUUUAAAUGCCACUUUUAUUUUUCAAGACCUGUAUUAUGAAGUCACAUGCAUACCACUAUCCUUCUGAGAUGUUCUCCUAAGUGGUCCAUGCAUGUAAUGUAUUUUCUGAAAUAUGUCUUUCUGCUUUUUAGAUGCAGAUCGUCAAGAUUCCAUUAAUCUCUUCCUGGGAGUUUUCCAUCCUCCCGAAGGAAACUUCCAUUCUGGGAACUCAAACAGAGUUUUGUCCAUAUCACAAAAAAACCUAUGAAACUUUUACCAACAAGAAAAAGAUUCAUUGGUGGCAAAGGAAGAUAAAAACUCUUAGAAGGGGAGAUAAGAGAGCUGCUGCAUCUGGACAUCUGCAGUGGGCAAGGCCCACCAGAGGACAAGUGGGAAUUGAACUGGAAAAGAGCUUCUGAGAGCGCAGCCCUGGACGAGGAGAGAAUGUGGCAAUGCCUCCCAGCAGCAGAGGAAGUGGAACCAUUCAGGCCACAGUCCAUAAAAUGUAGGGGUCAGUUUAGGGAUGAGUGAAAAAUAUUAUUUUUAAUGGUGAUAAUGUCUGGUGGGUUCUGAGAAGAAUAUAACAGCAGCCUUGUUUUUAAAAACCUCUCUAAAUCUACACACAAAAGUAGAACUUCUAAGAGAAAAAACCAAAUAUCCAUGGACAAACUUACCUCAGAACUGCACAAGGUACCCUCCAAAUCUCAAACUAUCUGAAGGUGGUGGAGAAAGCCACCAGAAGACACAGUCCUGCAUGGUAUCAGUGUUGGUGCAAAAGGAAGAGGUGAGGAGAGAGCAGUGGGGCCUCUGACAGCCAGAGUCUAAGAGGACACGGAGUAGCUAACAAACCCUCAACUGACCCGGGGAAGGGUUCUCCAACUGAACACCAGGUGAGUGCUGGGAUUCUUAGUGAGUCCUGACAGGGACUAAGGCCAUUUGGACCACAUAAACUCUUGACAUCAAGUGGCCAAAGUCCCUUCCAGCACAGGAACCCACCUGCUGACAGUGAAGUCAAAGAAUAGGACAUUGACAACAAAUAUGAAUGUGGGAGAAAGGAAUGUGGAGAGAGUCUCAGCAAGCAAGCUGUACAGUUUUAAAGUUUGCUUACUGAGCAACGGAAGAGCACCAAGAGCCAAUCCCAUAUAAAGUUGUCAGAAGAACAACAGAGCACAGAGCAAAAUAACAGCCCAACAGCCAAUGAAAUCAUGACAGACAGACAAGCCAAGAGUCUUGCCAAGAAGUGCAACAUAUUAUCUAAAAAUAAAUGUAAAAGUUUAAAUUCAAAAAGAAAUUGAAAAACCCAGGUAUGUAGCUCCGUGGCACAGACCCUGGCUGGCAAGCAUGAGGUGCUGACUUAGAUCCCCAGUACCAAGAAAAAAAAAAAAGUUUAGGAGAAAUUGUAAAAUACUGAUAAUAGACAAAGAAGAUUAAACAUGGAUAGUAAAAGUUUUGAAAAAGUAAGGCAAAGCAAAGGAAUGAAAAAAAAUCUAAAAACAGUAAUCCAAAGAAAAAAAGUUUUCUGGAACUAAAAAAACUACUUAAAACUGCAUCUUGAAAGAGCAUACCACAUACCUGAGAAUACUGACCCAGAAUGAGUAACAUCAGUAUGUAGUAUAAGUGAACUAUACUUUAAAGGGAAAAAAUUAUUUAGACUUCCAGACAAAAAGAUCAAAUGACUUUAAAGGGGAAGAAAAACAGAUCACCAUAAGGCUUUUUGGAUGCAAUACUGUAGGCCAGAAAAAAAGAGCAAAGUAACAUAUUUCAGACUUUCAAGAAAAGAAAAUGUGAGUUGAGGAUGUUAUUUUCCAAGCUUUUCAGUAUAAAAGCAGAGCCUGUUUGUUACCAGUAAGUAAAAACUGAAAGUAUUGCUCCUGUGAGCCCUCCUCGGGGAGUCUUGUGGGGAAUGAGCUAUGUACAAUCAGAGUGACUGCAGACACUGCUAUGGGUUGGAUAGGAGACCCCCCAGGGGCACACGUGUUAAGGGAUUGGUCACCAGUUCAUUUUGCUCCUGGAGGUGACAGAACCUUUACGAGAUAGGGCCCAGGGCAAGGUAGUGAGGUCACUGGGAGUUGCGGCCUUCAGUGGGGAUGUUGGGACUCUGGCCCUUCCUCUUCCCCUCUCUCUUUACUUUCCAGCUGCCAUGAGGUGAACAGCUGCCUUGAUGUACUGCCUUGCUGCAGACCCAGAAGCAAUGGCCAACUGACUGUGGACUGAAACCUCUAAGACUAUGAGCCAAAAUCAACCUCUCCUUUCUAUAGCUGAUUAUCUCAGAUAUUUUGUCACAAUGACACAAAGUUGAUGAAUACAAACAUUGACAUGAAGUCCAGCUUGAAGGUAUAGUUACCUGUAGAAUUAAAAUGAGUGUUAGAAGAGAGAGGGAAUGUACUGUGGUUAUAUGCUUACAGUGUGUAACAUAGUAUAACUGAAACAAAUUACAAAGACAAUAAGGAAGAAUAUGGAAAUACAAAGUCUGUUUUCAGAAAUCACAUUGAUGGUGGUAAUAUUAGUAUUGUUAUUCUGAAGGUGUUGUAUAACUAAUAUGGGAAAGCAAAUAAACAAUCAUGGAGUAUUUUAAUUCUGUCUCUUCUUUGUCCUUGAGAAACAAUAUUCUCCCUUAUGUGGAAUGCACACAAACAGUUAUAUACACAUGCAUGCUCACAUACAGUGGUCCUAUAUAAUGAUGAGAAUUCCUAGUACCCACAUUGUGAUAUUAAAAUGCCAAUUCCCCACUAAAAGGAACCAGAACUUCUAGGCUUACGUGGCUGAUACCAGGUCUGUGUUGGUAAACACACAAAAAUAAAC